GUCUUCAGUCUCUUCCCCAGAACUGAAAAAUCAACGACAAAAAGGUUAUUAAAUGAACAAAACCAAAAUGGGGGCACGUGCAGGGCCCAUGCAGCGAGUAGAGUUCUCAUCAGGUCAGGGAAAGGAAAGGUGGACACAAAGUACGAUGCUGGGCGGAGUGUGUGCAGUGCUCAAGGCCAAUCACUAUCCAGUAGAACCGUUAAACUCUAACAAAAAAACCACCGAGAGCCUCAAAUGACUAAACUAUCCUCAAUUAAGUACAUUCUGCGAGUGUAGCCGAAGGCAAAACAUGAUGGAAUAGAGGGAGGGUUUCCCUUUUCAACGGUGGAAUCCGAAGAAUAGACAAUAACCGAAUAAACGAUCCAGAUCUAAAGAUCCAGAGAUAUCAACGGUAGAGAUUCUCGAAACACAGUUAUUGAAGAAAGUUGCUUCUCCGUUGACCAUCCAACGGUGCAACCAAAGGUACUAGAUAGACCAACGGCCGAGAUCGUUUUAGAUAAGAAAGGAGAAAACAAGAACAGUAAAGCUAAACGUUAUGAGUUGUUUUGUCCUUUCAUUACCUUGCCGCCAUUGAUGAGUUCUUG
rnacentral:misc_RNA from 1 species